UCUACCUGACCACUGUUGCUUCGGCGAGCCCGUCUGUAAUGGACCGCCGGGGGGUACCUUGAUCGGCCCUCUGGUCCGCGCUCGUCGAUAGCCAAACUUUUUAAAAUCUUAACCAAACGUGUCUCAAUCUAAGUAUUAUUUGUUAAAUAAAAGCAAAACUUUCAACAACGGAUCUCUUGGUUCUGGCAUCGAUGAAGAACGCAGCGAAAUGCGAUAAGUAAUGCGAAUUGCAGAAUUUCAGUGAGUCAUCGAAUCUUUGAACGCACAUUGCGCCCUUUGGUAUUCCGAAGGGCAUGCCUGUUCGAGCGUCAUUAUCACCCCUCAAGCCCCCGGCUUGGUGUUGGACGGUUUGGUGGAGGCCCCCUCGCGGGGCCACCGCCCCUCCCAAAGACAAUGACGGCGGCCUCGUUGGACCCCCGGUACACUGAGUUCUUCACGGGACACGUAUCGGACACAUGGGUUUACGGGACACGGUCUGCCUCCCCUCAGGGAGAAUCUUUCUAAGGUUGACCUCGGAUCAGGUAGGGAUACCCGCUGAACUUAAGCAUAUC
rnacentral:rRNA from 1 species